AGUGAACGCUGGCGGUAGGCCUAACACAUGCAAGUCGAACGGCAGCACAGUAAGAGCUUGCUCUUACGGGUGGCGAGUGGCGGACGGGUGAGGAAUACAUCGGAAUCUACUUUUUCGUGGGGGAUAACGUAGGGAAACUUACGCUAAUACCGCAUACGACCUACGGGUGAAAGCAGGGGAUCUUCGGACCUUGCGCGAUUGAAUGAGCCGAUGUCGGAUUAGCUAGUUGGCGGGGUAAAGGCCCACCAAGGCGACGAUCCGUAGCUGGUCUGAGAGGAUGAUCAGCCACACUGGAACUGAGACACGGUCCAGACUCCUACGGGAGGCAGCAGUGGUGAAUAUUGGACAAUGGGCGCAAGCAUGAUCCAGCCAUACCGCGUGGGUGAAGAAGGCCUUCGGGUUGUAAAGCCCUUUUGUUGGGAAAGAAAAGCAGCAGGUUAAUACCCCGCUGUUCUGACGGUACCCAAAGAAUAAGCACCGGCUAACUUCGUG
rnacentral:rRNA from 1 species